rnacentral:rRNA from 1 species
GUGGGGUAGUAGCCUACCAAGGCGACGACGGGUAGCCGGCCUGAGAGGGUGACCGGCCACACUGGGACUGAGACACGGCCCAGACUCCUACGGGAGGCAGCAGUGGGGAAUAUUGCGCAAUGGGCGGAAGCCUGACGCAGCGACGCCGCGUGGGGGAUGACGGCCUUCGGGUUGUAAACCUCCUUCAGCAGGGACGAAGCCGCGAGGUGACGGUACCUGCAGAAGAAGCACCGGCCAACUACGUGCCAGCAGCCGCGGUAAUACAUAGGGUGCAAGCGUUGUCCGGAAUUAUUGGGCGUAAAGAGCCCGUAGGCGGUUUGUCGCGUCGGCUGUGAAAACCCGGAGCUCAACUCCGGGCCUGCAGUCGAUACGGGCAGACUCGAGUGUUGCAGGGGAGACUGGAAUUCCUGGUGUAGCGGUGAGAUGCGCAGAUAUCAGGAGGAACACCGGUGGCGAAGGCGGGUCUCUGGGCAACAACUGACGCUGAGGAGCGAAAGCGUGGGGAGCGAACAGGAUUAGAUACCCUGGUAGUCCACGCCGUAAACGUUGGGCGCUAGGUGUGGGGGCCAUUCCACGGUCUCCGUGCCGCAGCUAACGCAUUAAGCG